rnacentral:lncRNA from 1 species
UGUUUCGAUCUGAGCUUAUCCGAUUUGUUAGCUGCGCGCGAGGCUUCCGAAACCAGCCAGGUGCACAGGUACACGUUGAUUAAUCAGCCUUUACCAAGAUACAUGGAAAAGCUAUACCCAGCCAGUCAUUGCUCAAUGUGUCGUGGGCCCGUGCUAAGCAUAGAUAUAUAGGCAUUAGUACCUUGGCUUCUGCCAUCGAAUAUGCAAAGGUUGCAUGCAGCCAUGAACUUUGCUAGCUCUUUUAUACACGUUCAUGAUUCAAUCCUUGUGAAGAUCAUUUUCUUUAAACAGGGCAUUUAAAUUAUCUGUUUGCUUCACUGGAAUCCACGUGAUGAACUCUACACAAGGAGUCUAAUAUAGAAUAUAUAUUUUCAUUUCGAAUAUUUAGUAAUCAGCGGGACCCACAUGUCGUAGGGUAACACAUCGCUAACUUUAUUAUAUUUUGGUACAAAAAAUCAUCAAACACACCAGGUUUCAACUUGUGGGUCUUUGGAAACAGUUUCCAAUGAGCACCGCAUAGCAAGGUGGCGUUAGUCCCAAUUUGGAUGUGGAAGUCGUACUCGAACCCAUGACAUUCCACAACAACAAGGAAGUUCUCCGCAAAAUCGUUCAGGCGAUCCUUGAAGAACUGGGGAACAACCUGCUUAAACAUAAAGCAUUGGUAAAAAUAAUAAUUAAAAAGCAUCCAAAAUAAAAAUGUGAACACUUAACUAUUCCCAUUACCGCAAAAUUGCCACACCCUUCAACCACGUGAUUGUGAAGGCUGAAUGGCAAGCCUCCGGGCAUUUGCACAGUACAUUGAACUUGUUACACUCAUUGCAAGGGCACGCCAUGAACUCCACAAGGAAAACACAUAGGUUAAGUGCAGAACACUCAGAGGAAAAAACAAUAAAAAUGGCACGUAUACUUCAAUGAUACUUUCUGGAAAAACACAAAGAAACCUGUGAUCCGGCGAUCUAAAAACGGCGUGUAUAUCUUAUUUAGGGUGGUAUCUGCAACACGUAAACAUUAAUCAAACAAAGCAACCUACGAUCUAACAACCCCUCUACCGAAUCAUAGAUGCAAACAAAAAAAACGACCAAACCCUAGACACACAUCCCUGCACAGACAGAGCGGUGCUGGGGCGGAAGAAACUUUACCACGAUCCGGGAGCUGGCAGAGCAAUCUGGCAAGACAGGCGCAACACACAGGAACUCCAGCGACAGUUCUCCCUCUUCCCACACCCCGUCCCCAAACUCGAAAGCGAGAUAAAGAAGGAAACAACACGUCUUACCCGUCAAUCAACCACCACCCCCCCCCCCCCGCCCUCCCCCGAGGCCCCACAAAAAGCCUAGAACAACGUGUCUCCGAAGCCCAAACAGAACACAAACCGCAUACUAGCCCGGCCAGAGGGAAAAAAAACAAGCGCACGAGUCUCCGCGCGACCAAAAGCGUCCGCGCACAUCGCUUGCGCCAGGGGAGGGGGUGGUUUAGUCCCACCUUGCCCGUUUAGAGGCGCCGUCACCGGCAUAAAGGGUUCGGCCACCCUCACAAAUCAAUAGCAGCGGCUCUUCCUCUGUUGCAUCACCUUCAUCUAGUACCUUCUGAGACCUUCAGUGCUGAUGCUUGAGAACCUCAGUGGGUACUAUGUGAGGGUGGUGCGUCUAUGUGGAGGCCGAACUUCUUUUCACUACUACAGAAAACCCCAUCUGUGAUCCCCCUCCAGUGGCAGUUAAAACGGACC